rnacentral:lncRNA from 1 species
GCCAUCACUGUUCUAGGUGCUUUACAAAUAGUAUCUCAAAGGGAAAAAAGUGUGAAAAAUGCCCUAGAGAGUAGAAGGUAAUUCAAAGGGAGACUCACAGAUGCAGAAUAGUUUUGAAGCUAAAAUAUUGAAUUUAUUAUUUUCUUUAAAACAAAAAAAUACCAACAGAGAUUCAUGGUUCAUUUAUAAUCUUCUUCUCAUCUUUAUAUGUGAGAAUAUUUGUUUAUUGACAUUUGUCAAGUUCAUAAUAAGAUUUAUAAACAAUAAUGACCACAGUACAAUAUUAUAGUCAGUGGUUAAAGACAGAGUAUGGAGCUUAGCUUUUGGACUCAAGAGAGGCAGAGUUGACAUUCUGUUGUGAAAGGAAAAACAUUAUAUUCUUGGUUAGAUGGAAAGACAUUUAACAGAGGUGCUUAUAAAUACAGCCAGCCUCUUUUUCUUUUCUCCCCAAGAAAGAAGGUUGAAAUCUCUCCAUUCUUAUACUGUUGAUGAUAUGAAACCCCUAAAUUCUAUAACGGAUAACAUGGAGGAGAAAAUGUCAGCUGGAAAAAUACUUAAGUUAGGUGUUACCAGAUGUCUGCCCCUUUCUAUUAAAGAAGGCUCCUCUAUGUUCAUUAAUGGGGCCCUUGUGUGUAGAUUUCCUCCAGAAAAAGAAAUCUUGAAGAAAACCUACCUCAACCAUUUAAUUUUACAUACAAAGAGAUCUUACUGUUCAGAGAAGAUGGCUUUGACUCUACCAUUAUAA